GAUGAAGAACGCAGCGAAAUGCGAUAAGUAAUGUGAAUUGCAGAAUUCAGUGAAUCAUCGAAUCUUUGAACGCACAUUGCGCCCGUCAGUAUUCUGGCGGGCAUGCCUGUUCGAGCGUCAUUACGCCCCUCAAGUCCCCUGUGGGCUUGGUGUUGGGGAUCGGCGAGGCUGGUUUUCCAGCACAGCCGUCCCUUAAAUUAAUUGGCGGUCUCGCCGUGGCCCUCCUCUGCGCAGUAGUAAAACACUCGCAACAGGAGCCCGGCGCGGUCCACUGCCGUAACACCCCCCAACUUUUUAUAGUUGACCUCGAAUCAGGUAGGACUACCCGCUGAACUUAAGCAUAUCGAUAAGCGGAGGA
rnacentral:misc_RNA from 1 species